CACUGAGGGCAUACUACACUCAUCACAGAAAAUUUUUCAUCUUUUGCAGAGGGACCGUUGAAGUUGUGGCUGUUGAAGCCUCUGUGUGCUUAAUGGAAAUCUCCUGUGUUCACAUGAACAAAACUGACAUAAGAGGUUUUCAUGGCUUGAACAGUGAGGCUUCAGCUUACGAGACUAAGCAACACUGAAUGUGUUAGAGCUGCCAACAGCCCCCUAAAUCAUUAAACCUGAAGAAGGCAACUACAAAGUUUGCUGAAACACUGGACAGCUUUCAGCAUUUGAUGUGAACUAUUCCUGAAUGCUGAGGCAAGACAUACAAGCUGAGUCGACCCCUGGGACACGGUGUGGCUGGAAGGAAAAAAGCCAGCUGUUGCUAUGCAAUGGCAUGGUAAACGCUUUUCUGUGGCAACAAAUAAACAUGCAACAAUAGAAGAAUUGUUGGAAGUGCUGAGGCUUAUAGCAAGGACCAAUAAAAAAAGCUAUGGAGUUUGGAGUCGCACCGUUAGAUGUCACUACCAAGCAACGUCUAGUAAAGAUACGGCAGACUAAGAAGGGCUAGU